GGACCCGCACAAGUAGUGGAGCAUGUGGUUUAAUUCGAAGAUACGCGCAGAACCUUACCAACACUUGACAUGUUCGUCGCGACUUUAAGAGAUUAAAGUUUUCGGUUCGGCCGGACGAAACACAGGUGCUGCAUGGCUGUCGUCAGCUCGUGUCGUGAGAUGUUGGUUAAGUCCCGCAACGAGCGCAACCCUCACUUUUAGUUGCCAUCAUUAAGUUGGGCACUCUGAAAGAACUGCCAGUGAUAAGCUGGAGGAAGGUGGGGAUGACGUCAAGUCCUCAUGGCCCUUACGUGUUGGGCUACACACGUGCUACAAUGGCAGUGACAGAGGGAACGCUACCAGGUGACUGGAUGCAA
rnacentral:rRNA from 1 species